UACGGGGGGGGCAAGCGUUGUUCGGAAUUACUGGGCGUAAAGGCUCGUAGGCGGCCAACUAAGUCGGAUGUGAAAUCCCCAGGCUCAACCUGGGAACUGCAUCCGAUACUGGAUGGCUUGAAUUCGGGAGAGGGAUGCAGAAUUCCAGGUGUAGCGGUGAAAUGCGUAGAUAUCUGGAGGAAUACCGGUGGCGAAGGCGGCAUCCUGGACCGACGAUUGACGCUGAUGAGCGAAAGCUAGGGGAGCAAACGGG
rnacentral:rRNA from 1 species